rnacentral:rRNA from 1 species
GCCGUGGACGCGCGGAUCUUCAGAGAUUAGAGUUUGAUCAUGGCUCAGAUUGAACGCUGGCGGCAUGCCUUACACAUGCAAGUCGAACGGCAGCACGGGAGCAAUCCUGGUGGCGAGUGGCGAACGGGUGAGUAAUGUAUCGGAACGUACCUUUCAGUGGGGGAUAACGUAGCGAAAGUUACGCUAAUACCGCAUAUUCUGUGAGCAGGAAAGCAGGGGAUCGCAAGACCUUGCGCUGAUUGAGCGGCCGAUAUCAGAUUAGCUAGUUGGUGAGGUAAAGGCUCACCAAGGCGACGAUCUGUAGCGGGUCUGAGAGGAUGAUCCGCCACACUGGAACUGAGACACGGUCCAGACUCCUACGGGAGGCAGCAGUGGGGAAUUUUGGACAAUGGGCGCAAGCCUGAUCCAGCCAUGCCGCGUGAGUGAAGAAGGCCUUCGGGUUGUAAAGCUCUUUCAGCCGGGAAGAAAACGCAUGGGUUAAUACCCUGUGUGGAUGACGGUACCGGAAUAAGAAGCACCGGCUAACUACGUGCCAGCAGCCGCGGUAAUACGUAGGGUGCGAGCGUUAAUCGGAAUUACUGGGCGUAAAGCGUGCGCAGGCGGUUUGUUAAGAUAGGCGUGAAAUCCCCGGGCUCAACCUGGGAACUGCGUUUAUGACUGGCAGGCUAGAGUAUGGCAGAGGGGGGUGGAAUUCCACGUGUAGCAGUGAAAUGCGUAGAGAUGUGGAGGAACACCGAUGGCGAAGGCAGCCCCCUGGGCCAAUACUGACGCUCAUGCACGAAAGCGUGGGUAGCAAACAGGAUUAGAUACCCUGGUAGUCCACGCCCUAAACGAUGUCAACUAGGUGUUGGGAGGGUAAAACCUUUUAGUACCGGAGCUAACGCGUGAAGUUGACCGCCUGGGGAGUACGGCCGCAAGGUUAAAACUCAAAGGAAUUGACGGGGACCCGCACAAGCGGUGGAUGAUGUGGAUUAAUUCGAUGCAACGCGAAAAACCUUACCUACCCUUGACAUGUCCGGAAGCCCUUAGAGAUUUGGGUGUGCUCGAAAGAGAGCCGGGAACACAGGUGCUGCAUGGCUGUCGUCAGCUCGUGUCGUGAGAUGUUGGGUUAAGUCCCGCAAA